AAAACCUUUGUUUUCUCUUUUCUUCUUGCUUGUCGAGUUGAGUGAGUGUUGGUGUGUAAUAUCCAACUUCUGGUGUGUAAUAUCCAGAGACUAAGGGCUCUAGUUUGGUGUGUCAUAUCCGAUCUAUUGCCUAGGAGUAUCAAGGAGCCUUUCCGCAGCCUCUUGUGUCACCAUUCGAUCCACAUACCUUGAGAAACUUGAGUCUUUUGAUUCGUUUCUGCAAGGAUUAUCCCAUCUGUUCCAGAGCAUCAUCCUAGGAUCUCAUCAAGUGGUAUCAGAGCAACUCUGGAAGGGAAGUGUGUUGAUUUCUCUAUGAUUUUCGAUUUGUCUCUUCAUAUUCAUGCUAGAAACUGAUAGAUCUGUGUUGUGGCUGUCGAAAUCUGAUAGAUUAAGGUUAUCUGAUUUCGUUUUUGUGUUAAAAACUCUUCAUAUACCUUGCUGAGAAAGUUUUCUGAUUUACUUGAUCAAUCUGUUUCUGUUUCUGAAAUUUCGAAUUGUUUCUGUCUUGAUCUACUCUGUUUUGAUUAAACUUGAUGUACUAGACUUGAAAGUGAACCUGAAAUCAAAAUCUCUCUGUUCUGUUUCGAAAUCAAUCUGAUCUGUUAGGUUUGUGAUUUAUCAGUUCUGUUCAGAUUAGUUUUGAUCUGUUUUAAAUCAUUGGUUGAGUUUUUAAUUUGUUCUGAGAAUUGUCUAAGGUUUUAAGCUUCAGUUUGAAUCUGUUUCUGGUUUUGCAAAUUGAUUUUUGUUUUCUCUGUAGAACUUGUUACUGCUGUGUGUUGUUUUCUGUCUCAGGUACUAUGGCAGGAGAUCAGAACGGAAAGCUCACUAAGGAAGAAAGGCUGCUACUUAAAUCUAUGAAUGCUCAUCUGCAGCAGAUGAUGGAUAACAACAUGGGUGAAUUUCAAAAGAAGCUUAGACAAAAGUUUCUGCAGCAAACUGAUGAUCUUAGGCAGAAAAAUAAAAAGAGAAUGGACAGUCAAAAGCUUGAGCCAAGAUCACCAGAUUCUGUUCAAAACAAGUCAAGCAAGCAUAAGUGGUAUAAGGAAGAGGAAGCAGGACGUGGACAACAGUCUUACAAACAGACAGCCCACACUUCGAGCAGACCACAUCAAGCUUCUCGCACUCCUAAAUCAAAUAUUCAUUCUUCUUACAAUCAAAUUGUCACUAAGCCUCAACUUUAUGUUUUUACAGGGGAAGGUGAUUAUUUAAAGUGGGAAAGAACAAUGGAGAAGUGGCUUUGCUACAACAAAAUCCUGAAGAGAGAAGCAUUGGCUUAUGUGAUGUCUCAGCUCAAAGGAAACGUUUUUAAGUGGUUGUUGCAAGAAGAAGAUGAUCGCAGGUACUACAAGGAACCAGCUAUCACCACUUGGGAAGAUCUGAAGUUGCUACUAAGGAAGAAGUAUGCAUCCAAAGGCCACACUUCUCUGAAAUCUCCAAAGAAGAAAGUCAUAUCCGCAACAGACUUCAAAAGUGAAAAAUCAGAAACCAAGAUGGCUGAUUAUGAGAAAGAAAUCAGCAGCCUUGUUAAGGAGAUUCUUAAGACCAGCAAGCACUUAGACAAGCAGAAGAAGCUCCCAAAGAAUCAAGAACCAGUUGCUACUGUCUCAGAACUCAAUGAUGCAGAACCAGACUCAGCUGCCCCAAUUCAAGAAGCUCAAACCAAAACAUCUAUGGGAAAAGGAAAGUUUGAGAAAGAACAAGAGUUUUCUCUGUUCUUACCUCACUCUGAAUCUAAUUUUGAUGAUUCCUUUGAUGAACUAACUUGUCUUGAACCGGUGCAACCGAGUAGAAUUGUUUCAGUGUCACAGGUUGCAAAAGAAGACUCAGCAGAAAAAGAACCAGAGAGUACAACACAAGAAGAACAACAGAAAAACUUGCAGACAGAAUCAGCUCAUGAAUCUUUGUCUUAUGAUCUGCAAGAGCACUGUAAGGAGUUUAAUAUGGUUGCUUCUGUGCCUAGAAUGUUUGUUAAAGUGAGUACUGAAGACAUAAAACGUUUUGGUCUUGAUAAAGUAAAAGAUUUUUUUGUUUCAAAAUCUGUUUUUGAUAACAUGUUUAAAUCUUUUAAAGAACUUAAACCAGUAAUCAUCUUUGAUCAAAAAAAUUUUCAAAAUCAAAAUAAUAACAUUUCUGGUCAUAUUCUGAGUUUUGAUCAUUUUCUGAAACAUGGCAAAAGUUUUGAUCAUUUUGAAAAGGUUUUAGAGCUUGAAUUGAAACAAUUUGAUUUCUGUUUGAAACCUUGUGAUUCAUUUGCUAGAACUGAAGAAAGGAGUUUUGUUACGAACUUCCAUGUGCAUAAACUGAUCCUUGAUAAUUCUUUUGUUUCUGCUUAUGUAUUGAAUGAACCUAAGAAGUUGCAGGAACCGAAAUUGCAUCAAUCUGAUUUUAGAUUUAAAUUUGUGAAAUCUGCAAAGUUCUCUGAGUUUGAGCUUGAUUGUUUGUGUGCUAAAAAUGAUUCUAAACGUGUAGGGUUGUUCUUUGAGGAUAUUCUAGUGUAUAACACUUUCUUUGAUAAACCUGUUGCACAAUUGAAACUAGAGUUCACUGAUUCUGAAUGUAUGAACUUAAUCCUUGAUGAUAUUUGGGUCUGCAAUAUUUUUGUUGAUAUGCAUAAUAAAUGGAGGAAUCAUGCUGUUUUGUGCUUUGGAGACAUUCUGGUCUACAACACUUUCUUUGACAUGAUAACACACUUGACUUGUCCAAAACAAGCUGAAAAAGGUACAGGUGAAGAAAGGGGCUAUAAUGAUCAGAGUAUCCAUGAUGAGUCCUUGGCUAAAUUGGAGAUGCAACAAUCAAAUCUUGGAAACUGUCUAGCCGCCAGGUUUAACAUAGGAGCAGUCCGAGGAUCAUAUCUCAGCAACCAGAAGGAAUUAAGCAACAAACUCAACUGCAAUGGAAACUACACUCAUCAGGGUCUCACGUCGAACUGGAAUCAUGUCCAAAGCUUCUCAAAUGAAAGAGUUAUGGGUUCUACAAGACGGGUGAUUCUGUGUUUGCUUUGUUUGAAUUUUUCUGAGUAUAGAACAUCUCAAUCCUAUAUAUGGCGACCAGGUGAGCAUGCUAAGGUAACCAAUCAUGUUUUCAAGAGUUCCUUUAUUGAUUACACAGAUAUGAUGCACUUGUUUUUGUCAAAAGAGUCAUGUGCAGAUUAUAUGGAAGCUUUGAAGCAUGCAAAGACAAAGAACAAGCGUGAGGAAGACAAACGUUUCAAGCCGCCUGAUCUAAGCCAGGAGAGACAUCAGGACGUCACUUGCUUCAUCCUCAUCAAAGAAGCACCUCCAGAUGCAACAUACAAGCCAAAACCGAGAAAAUAUAACUUUGGGAUAAGAAUCUUACUCUAUGAUGAUUUUGCUUGUGUUAACUUGUCUUGUUUCAAAGUAUCAGGUUUAAGUAAUGCCUCAGGAGUGAGGAAAGCCAAAUGGAUCAGUCCCUUCUACCUAAUAGAACCAGUCAGCGACAAUGCCUAUCAAAGAGGCUUGCAAGGUAAGUGUAAUCUGAUUAUAAACUCUGAUGUUACUGACUUGGUCCCUUCUAUUGCAGGUAACACAGAUUUGAGGACAAAUCUUUUUGAAGUGGGAGGGGAUGAUGUGAUCAUGGAAAGCACCAAGGAAUGGAAUCAUGAACCUGAUCAUGGAGAACUUGUAGCUGUGGAAGAACCUACACUUGAAGAAUGUUUGAGCCGAAAUAAAGCUUCUAUCAUCAGAGACAACUUGAUCUACAUUCAAGCUACUCUACACUCAAGCUGAUCAUCAUCUAGGCAAGUAGCUUGUGUGUACUCUUUUUCCCUUGAUUGGUUUUGUCCCACUGGGUUUUCCAAUCAAGGUUUUUAAUGAGGCCACAAGUUACUUCUCUUACCUCCUAGAUGAUUGAUCUUGGUCUGUCCACAUGAAGACCUUAUCUUAUAUUUUAAGCUAUGCUUUUAUGUUAUUUAGUUUUCGAAAAAACUCUAGUCUUUGUUGUGUUUCCAAGGGAGCUUUUGUCUUUAUUUUCCUUGUAUUUUCGAGACCUUGUGCAUGUACAAGGCUUCUCCUUUAUAUUCUGGUCGUGGCCCCUUGUAUCAGCAUCCAUCUUUUUAUCAAAAACCUUUGUUUUCUCUUUUCUUCUUGCUUGUCGAGUUGAGUGAGUGUUGGUGUGUAAUAUCCAACUUCUGGUGUGUAAUAUCCAGAGACUAAGGGCUCUAGUUUGGUGUGUCAUAUCCGAUCUAUUGCCUAGGAGUAUCAAGGAGCCUUUCCGCAGCCUUUUGUGUCACCAUUCGAUCCACAUACCUUGAGAAACUUGAGUCUUUUGAUUCGUUUCUGCAAGGAUUAUCCCAUCUGUUCCAGAGCAUCAUCCUAGGAUCUCAUCAAGUGGUAUCAGAGCAACUCUGGAAGGGAAGUGUGUUGAUUUCUCUAUGAUUUUCGAUUUGUCUCUUCAUAUUCAUGCUAGAAACUGAUAGAUCUGUGUUGUGGCUGUCGAAAUCUGAUAGAUUAAGGUUAUCUGAUUUCGUUUUUGUGUUAAAAACUCUUCAUAUACCUUGCUGAGAAAGUUUUCUGAUUUACUUGAUCAAUCUGUUUCUGUUUCUGAAAUUUCGAAUUGUUUCUGUCUUGAUCUACUCUGUUUUGAUUAAACUUGAUGUACUAGACUUGAAAGUGAACCUGAAAUCAAAAUCUCUCUGUUCUGUUUCGAAAUCAAUCUGAUCUGUUAGGUUUGUGAUUUAUCAGUUCUGUUCAGAUUAGUUUUGAUCUGUUUUAAAUCAUUGGUUGAGUUUUUAAUUUGUUCUGAGAAUUGUCUAAGGUUUUAAGCUUCAGUUUGAAUCUGUUUCUGGUUUUGCAAAUUGAUUUUUGUUUUCUCUGUAGAACUUGUUACUGCUGUGUGUUGUUUUCUGUCUCAGGUACUAUGGCAGGAGAUCAGGUUGCAAAAGAAGACUCAGCAGAAAAAGAACCAGAGAGUACAACACAAGAAGAACAACAGAAAAACUUGCAGACAGAAUCAGCUCAUGAAUCUUUGUCUUAUGAUCUGCAAGAGCACUGUAAGGAGUUUAAUAUGGUUGCUUCUGUGCCUAGAAUGUUUGUUAAAGUGAGUACUGAAGACAUAAAACGUUUUGGUCUUGAUAAAGUAAAAGAUUUUUUUGUUUCAAAAUCUGUUUUUGAUAACAUGUUUAAAUCUUUUAAAGAACUUAAACCAGUAAUCAUCUUUGAUCAAAAAAAUUUUCAAAAUCAAAAUAAUAACAUUUCUGGUCAUAUUCUGAGUUUUGAUCAUUUUCUGAAACAUGGCAAAAGUUUUGAUCAUUUUGAAAAGGUUUUAGAGCUUGAAUUGAAACAAUUUGAUUUCUGUUUGAAACCUUGUGAUUCAUUUGCUAGAACUGAAGAAAGGAGUUUUGUUACGAACUUCCAUGUGCAUAAACUGAUCCUUGAUAAUUCUUUUGUUUCUGCUUAUGUAUUGAAUGAACCUAAGAAGUUGCAGGAACCGAAAUUGCAUCAAUCUGAUUUUAGAUUUAAAUUUGUGAAAUCUGCAAAGUUCUCUGAGUUUGAGCUUGAUUGUUUGUGUGCUAAAAAUGAUUCUAAACGUGUAGGGUUGUUCUUUGAGGAUAUUCUAGUGUAUAACACUUUCUUUGAUAAACCUGUUGCACAAUUGAAACUAGAGUUCACUGAUUCUGAAUGUAUGAACUUAAUCCUUGAUGAUAUUUGGGUCUGCAAUAUUUUUGUUGAUAUGCAUAAUAAAUGGAGGAAUCAUGCUGUUUUGUGCUUUGGAGACAUUCUGGUCUACAACACUUUCUUUGACAUGAUAACACACUUGACUUGUCCAAAACAAGCUGAAAAAGGUACAGGUGAAGAAAGGGGCUAUAAUGAUCAGAGUAUCCAUGAUGAGUCCUUGGCUAAAUUGGAGAUGCAACAAUCAAAUCUUGGAAACUGUCUAGCCGCCAGGUUUAACAUAGGAGCAGUCCGAGGAUCAUAUCUCAGCAACCAGAAGGAAUUAAGCAACAAACUCAACUGCAAUGGAAACUACACUCAUCAGGGUCUCACGUCGAACUGGAAUCAUGUCCAAAGCUUCUCAAAUGAAAGAGUUAUGGGUUCUACAAGACGGGUGAUUCUGUGUUUGCUUUGUUUGAAUUUUUCUGAGUAUAGAACAUCUCAAUCCUAUAUAUGGCGACCAGGUGAGCAUGCUAAGGUAACCAAUCAUGUUUUCAAGAGUUCCUUUAUUGAUUACACAGAUAUGAUGCACUUGUUUUUGUCAAAAGAGUCAUGUGCAGAUUAUAUGGAAGCUUUGAAGCAUGCAAAGACAAAGAACAAGCGUGAGGAAGACAAACGUUUCAAGCCGCCUGAUCUAAGCCAGGAGAGACAUCAGGACGUCACUUGCUUCAUCCUCAUCAAAGAAGCACCUCCAGAUGCAACAUACAAGCCAAAACCGAGAAAAUAUAACUUUGGGAUAAGAAUCUUACUCUAUGAUGAUUUUGCUUGUGUUAACUUGUCUUGUUUCAAAGUAUCAGGUUUAAGUAAUGCCUCAGGAGUGAGGAAAGCCAAAUGGAUCAGUCCCUUCUACCUAAUAGAACCAGUCAGCGACAAUGCCUAUCAAAGAGGCUUGCAAGGUAAGUGUAAUCUGAUUAUAAACUCUGAUGUUACUGACUUGGUCCCUUCUAUUGCAGGUAACACAGAUUUGAGGACAAAUCUUUUUGAAGUGGGAGGGGAUGAUGUGAUCAUGGAAAGCACCAAGGAAUGGAAUCAUGAACCUGAUCAUGGAGAACUGAUGUGAUCAUGGAAAGCACCAAGGAAUGGAAUCAUGAACCUGAUCAUGGAGAACUUGUAGCUGUGGAAGAACCUACACUUGAAGAAUGUUUGAGCCGAAAUAAAGCUUCUAUCAUCAGAGACAACUUGAUCUACAUUCAAGCUACUCUACACUCAAGCUGAUCAUCAUCUAGGCAAGUAGCUUGUGUGUACUCUUUUUCCCUUGAUUGGUUUUGUCCCACUGGGUUUUCCAAUCAAGGUUUUUAAUGAGGCCACAAGUUACUUCUCUUACCUCCUAGAUGAUUGAUCUUGGUCUGUCCACAUGAAGACCUUAUCUUAUAUUUUAAGCUAUGCUUUUAUGUUAUUUAGUUUUCGAAAAAACUCUAGUCUUUGUUGUGUUUCCAAGGGAGCUUUUGUCUUUAUUUUCCUUGUAUUUUCGAGACCUUGUGCAUGUACAAGGCUUCUCCUUUAUAUUCUGGUCGUGGCCCCUUGUAUCAGCAUCCAUCUUUUUAUCAAAAACCUUUGUUUUCUCUUUUCUUCUUGCUUGUCGAGUUGAGUGAGUGUUGGUGUGUAAUAUCCAACUUCUGGUGUGUAAUAUCCAGAGACUAAGGGCUCUAGUUUGGUGUGUCAUAUCCGAUCUAUUGCCUAGGAGUAUCAAGGAGCCUUUCCGCAGCCUUUUGUGUCACCAUUCGAUCCACAUACCUUGAGAAACUUGAGUCUUUUGAUUCGUUUCUGCAAGGAUUAUCCCAUCUGUUCCAGAGCAUCAUCCUAGGAUCUCAUCAAGUGGUAUCAGAGCAACUCUGGAAGGGAAGUGUGUUGAUUUCUCUAUGAUUUUCGAUUUGUCUCUUCAUAUUCAUGCUAGAAACUGAUAGAUCUGUGUUGUGGCUGUCGAAAUCUGAUAGAUUAAGGUUAUCUGAUUUCGUUUUUGUGUUAAAAACUCUUCAUAUACCUUGCUGAGAAAGUUUUCUGAUUUACUUGAUCAAUCUGUUUCUGUUUCUGAAAUUUCGAAUUGUUUCUGUCUUGAUCUACUCUGUUUUGAUUAAACUUGAUGUACUAGACUUGAAAGUGAACCUGAAAUCAAAAUCUCUCUGUUCUGUUUCGAAAUCAAUCUGAUCUGUUAGGUUUGUGAUUUAUCAGUUCUGUUCAGAUUAGUUUUGAUCUGUUUUAAAUCAUUGGUUGAGUUUUUAAUUUGUUCUGAGAAUUGUCUAAGGUUUUAAGCUUCAGUUUGAAUCUGUUUCUGGUUUUGCAAAUUGAUUUUUGUUUUCUCUGUAGAACUUGUUACUGCUGUGUGUUGUUUUCUGUCUCAGGUACUAUGGCAGGAG
rnacentral:lncRNA from 1 species